rnacentral:rRNA from 1 species
AGUGAACGCUGGCGGUAGGCCUAACACAUGCAAGUCGAACGGCAGCACGGUAAGAGCUUGCUCUUACGGGUGGCGAGUGGCGGACGGGUGAGGAAUACAUCGGAAUCUACUUUUUCGUGGGGGAUAACGUAGGGAAACUUACGCUAAUACCGCAUACGACCUACGGGUGAAAGCAGGGGAUCUUCGGACCUUGCGCGAUUGAAUGAGCCGAUGUCGGAUUAGCUAGUUGGCGGGGUAAAGGCCCACCAAGGCGACGAUCCGUAGCUGGUCUGAGAGGAUAAUCAGCCACACUGGAACUGAGACACGGUCCAGACUCCUACGGGAGGCAGCAGUGGGGAAUAUUGGACAAUGGGCGCAAGCCUGAUCCAGCCAUACCGCGUGGGUGAAGAAGGCCUUCGGGUUGUAAAGCCCUUUUGUUGGGAAAGAAAAGCAGCAGGUUAAUACCCCGCUGUUCUGACGGUACCCAAAGAAUAAGCACCGGCUAACUUCGUG